UCCGUAGGUGAACCUGCGGAAGGAUCAUUACCGAGUUGAUUCGGGCUCCGGCCCGAUCCUCCCACCCUUUGUGUACCCACCUCUGUUGCUUUGGCGGGCCGCGGUCCUCCGCGGCCGCCCUCCGUCCGGGGGGUGGCCAGCGCCCGCCAGAGGACCAUCGAACUCCGGUCAGUGAACGUUGCCGUCUGAAAAACAAUCAAUAAACUAAAACUUUCAACAACGGAUCUCUUGGUUCUGGCAUCGAUGAAGAACGCAGCGAAAUGCGAUAAGUAAUGUGAAUUGCAGAAUUCAGUGAAUCAUCGAAUCUUUGAACGCACAUUGCGCCCCUCGGUAUUCCGAGGGGCAUGCCUGUUCGAGCGUCAUUACAACCCUCAAGCUCUGCUUGGUGUUGGGCACCGCCCUUCCGCGGGCGCGCCUCAAAGACCUCGGCGGUGGCGUCUUGCCUCGAGCGUAGUAGAAAACACCUCGCUUUGGAGCGCACGGCGCCGCCCGCCGGACGAACCUUUUGAACUUUCUCAAGGUUGACCUCGGAUCAGGUAGGGAUACCCGCUGAACUUAAGCAUAUCAAUAAGCGGAGGA
rnacentral:rRNA from 1 species